AUGUGUAAGGCCAAGCGAGAAGGAGGAAUGGGCUUUCGUGAUCCAGAGGCGUUCAUCCUAGCCUUGUUGGCCAAACAAGCUUGGUGCGUUUUACAGUACCCAAAUUCAUUGUGUGCUAGGGUGCUCAAAGCAAGAUAUUUCCCUGAGGGAUCAAUUAUGAAUGCCACAUGCCCUAAUGGAGGAUCGUUUACAUUCAGAAGCAUUGUACAUGGCCGAGAACUUCUGCGGGAAGUAGUAGUCUGGAGGAUUGGUGAUGGCACAUCUAUGAAGAUCCACCACGACAACUGGCUUCCGCGCCAGGGCAGCCUCAAGCCGCUUGGGCAACAGUACAUUGCAGGUAUUACUCAUGUACGCCAUCUCUUGGAUGAAUCAGGCGUUGCAUGGAAUAUGGGCAAAGUGGAGAGGAUGUUUACUCCCAGGGAUGUUGAGGAUAUAAAGCAGAUUGUGGUGGGCGGGCCGAACAUGAGGGAUUACAUUGCAUGGAAUUUCACCAACAACGGACAAUUUUUAGUCAAGUCUACGUAUCACCGAUGCAUGAGUUUGAAUGGCGUCAAGACCGGAUAG
rnacentral:rRNA from 1 species